rnacentral:rRNA from 1 species
UACAGAGGGUGCAAGCGUUGCUCGGAAUCAUUGGGCGUAAAGGGCAAGUAGGUGGUCUCAUUUGUCUGAUGUGAAAGCCUUGAGCUUAACUCAAGAAGUGCGUCAGAAACGGUGAGACUCGAGUUCUGGAGAGGGUCGUGGAAUUCCCGGUGUAGCGGUGAAAUGCGUAGAGAUCGGGAGGAACACCAGAGGCGAAGGCGACCACCUGGACUGAUACUGACACUGAGGUGCGAAAGCGUGGGGAGCAAACAGG